rnacentral:rRNA from 1 species
UCCCUGGGUGACGAGCGGCGGACGGGUGAGUAAUGUCUGGGAAACUGCCUGAUGGAGGGGGAUAACUACUGGAAACGGUAGCUAAUACCGCAUAACGUCGCAAGACCAAAGAGGGGGACCUUCGGGCCUCUUGCCAUCAGAUGUGCCCAGAUGGGAUUAGCUAGUAGGUGGGGUAAUGGCUCACCUAGGCGACGAUCCCUAGCUGGUCUGAGAGGAUGACCAGCCACACUGGAACUGAGACACGGUCCAGACUCCUACGGGAGGCAGCAGUGGGGAAUAUUGCACAAUGGGCGCAAGCCUGAUGCAGCCAUGCCGCGUGUGUGAAGAAGGCCUUCGGGUUGUAAAGCACUUUCAGCGAGGAGGAAGGUGGUGAGCUUAAUACGUUCAUCAAUUGACGUUACUCGCAGAAGAAGCACCGGCUAACUCCGUGCCAGCAGCCGCGGUAAUACGGAGGGUGCAAGCGUUAAUCGGAAUUACUGGGCGUAAAGCGCACGCAGGCGGUUUGUUAAGUCAGAUGUGAAAUCCCCGGGCUCAACCUGGGAACUGCAUU